UUUCUGCUUAGAUCACAGGUUUGUUUUGUUUUUCUCUUAAACUUUCAUACUUUUCAUAGAUAGAAAAAACUUACAACAUCUCUUAAACACAUAUAUAGAGAUUGCACACUUGCACACAUAGUUUCUUUGCCAUAACUCUAGAUACUAGGAUCACUUACACAAGCAACACCACUUGUGUAUAGGUUCCAGCAACUCCUAACAACUCUUUACUAUUCAGACCUAACAGCUUCUCUUGUUAUUCUAACUUGGUACUUAGCUAACUUAAGAGUACAUCAAGUCUACGAAUGGGUCACAACAAAAACCAUCUAGACAUUUUCUGUUGGGCCAAAAACCAAAUCUGCAGGCCCAAACACAUCUUAACCCAAAACAACUAAACCUUGACUUCUUCUUCUACGUUUCCUUUCGUCAACCUUCGACGCUUCUUCUCUCUUUCUAGAUUCUGGGUUUCAUCACACCAACCCACCUCUUUACUCCCUUGUUCUUCAUUCCUUUCUCAUUGACAUCGUUCUUCUUCUUUGCAGGAUCAAUCGGAGAGUUCAAUCUCAACACUCCCUCUUGAGCUCUUCGAUUGAUAUCUAGAUUUGAUUUUAAAACAGUGAAAUUUGAUACCUUUGGUUUCAGUUGAACGAACGCAGAUUUCACCGGAGGUGCUCUUCUUAGUGCAUCAGCAUAGCUCACAGGUACUUUCAAUUUCAUUGUCUUUCUUUCAUUUGAGAUCUCCAUUGGACUUGCUUCUUCGGUUUUCGUUGCUCCCUCUGAAGUCAUAGCCUUCUUACUUUCUCGCUUCUCUUCUUCUUCAUCUAACUUCAGCCUUUUCUUAGGUUUCAUUGCUCCCUUUUGAGCUUUUAUCUCCUCAAUCUUGUUCUGUUCUGCCUCAGUCCCAACUAACCUCACUUUAGUCUUCUUUUGCAGAUACUCGGAAUUGAAAUCGAUGCCUCCAAACUUGACUGCACUUGAUUUUUCAAUUAGAGGUAAAUCUCUUACCUCUUCCUUGUUUUGCUUUUGAAACUUUAGCGUCUGGUUCUUGACUUCACUUUUGCCAAUGAUUUCCUUCUUUUGAAACCCGAAUCCUUUAUACUUUGACACUUGAUUCUUCUUCUCUAUUUCUUGAUUCUUUUCUGCAUCCUUUUUGCAGGUCUCUUCUCUAGUCCACUUUUGCUCCCUCUCAAUCUUAGGUGAGCAUUCAACUUUCUCCAUCGUGUCUCCUUUUAACACCACAUUGUUCAGCUUGGUUCCUUGAACCACAUAUUUGGUUUCUUUAGCUUUGUUUUCUUCUUUUCCAAGUUCAGAACCACUCUGGUUCUUACCUUUACUCACUGAUUUUCCUUUCACUGCAUCAGCUCCGAUCUUCUUUGGUUGAUACAUCACAGAUUUGUUCUUCUCUUCAGCUUUUUUCUCAGUACACCAAGAUUGCAUCAUCUUUUGAUUUUCGACUUCAGUGUGUCCAGCAUCUUGACGACCAGAUUCAACAUUUUCUUUCGCAACCACCAUUGUAGCUUCUUCAUUUGCUGACAUUUUUAGAUGGAAACUCUUCUUGAUCAUUGGUAUCUCUGCUAUCUUUCUCCCAGCUGGAUCAUGAAUGGUACAGCCUCUUUGAUCGAAGGUAACAUCAUAGUCAUUUUCAAUCAUUUGAGAAACACUUAAUAGAUUUUUGGUGAUCUGUGGAACUAGAAGAACAUCUCUGAUGAUUCUCUUGUCCUUUUUUGUCAUGACUUCAAUGUCUCCUUUUCCUUUUGUUGUCAGCACAGCUCCAUUACCUACACGUAUAGGAACAUUGAAGCUUGUGUUGAGAUUUGAGAAUAGCUUUUCAUCUGAAGACAUAUGAUUUGUGCAUCCACUAUCAAUGAGCCAGACAUUCUCUCCAGGUGAUUCUUGAUCCUCUUGUCUUGCAGUAAACAUGUGGUAGCUUUCUUCUGCUUCAUUGUCUUCUUGGUUGACUUGUGCUUGUUCUCCAUUCUUGACUUUGCAGUCUUUUAUUAGAUGACCCACUUUGCCACAGUGAAAACAACUCCAAUUCCUAGUGUCUCUGUUUUUGUUGAAAUCAGGUCUGAUUUUUCCACUCUUAAUCCAACAUACAUCUUCAUUGUGAUUAUCUCUUUUGCAGUAACCACACCAUCUUUUUGCUCUGUAACUCGUUUGACCUGAAUUCUCUUUGUUCUUGUCUUCCACAUUUAAACUUCUGAACCGUGCAUGAAAGGCUCCUUCUGCAUCUUCUUCAUCUUCAGGGAAGAAUUUCUUUUCAUGUGCCUCAAGAGAUCCAAGCAGCUCAGCAUAGGUAACUGUUUGUAAAUCCUUAGUUUCUUCCAUUAAGGAUGACAGACCAGCAUAACUUUUUGGCAUAGAGGCUAGCAUUUUUACCACUAAAUCAAAGUUUGAUUUCCCUUCACCUAGAGCUCUCAUCUAAUUUGCUACAGCCUGAAUCCUAUCCGAGUAAGUCUUAACUUUCUCCCCUUCUUUCAUUUUCAAGUUUUCAAAUUCCCUUCUUAAAGACUGAAGUCUAACAGUUUUAACUUUCUCAUUACCUUGGUAAGAGUGCUCCAGGAGUUUCCAUGCUUGGUGUGAUGAAGAUGCAGAGAGGAUCUUGUCAAAGACCACAUCAGCCACAGCAUGCUGAAUAAUUUGGAGAGCAGCAGUGUCUUUAGCUUUUAGGGCCUUCAGGGCAGCAUCUUUUCCUUUAUCUGGAGUUUCAGUUGAUUGAGUUGUAGCUUCUGGUACUCCAUCUUUGACGACUUCCCAUAGAUCUUUAUUCAAGAGUGUAGUUUUCAUUCUUGCAGCCCAGAACUCAUAGUUCUGACCAUCAAAGACUGCAACCAGUUGAGAGGACUGCAAGUUCAACGCCAUGUGAGUUCUUCCUUUACUUUGACUUUUCUUCUUCUUAUCUUAAACAGGUUCCAAGAACAAGAUGAGCUCUGAUACCAUGUUGUUUUUCUGCUUAGAUCACAGGUUUGUUUUGUUUUUCUCUUAAACUUUCAUACUUUUCAUAGAUAGAAAAAACUUACAACAUCUCUUAAACACAUAUAUAGAGAUUGCACACUUGCACACAUAGUUUCUUUGCCAUAACUCUAGAUACUAGGAUCACUUACACAAGCAACACCACUUGUGUAUAGGUUCCAGCAACUCCUAACAACUCUUUACUAUUCAGACCUAACAGCUUCUCUUGUUAUUCUAACUUGGUACUUAGCUAACUUAAGAGUACAUCAAGUCUACGAAUGGGUCACAACAAAAACCAUCUAGACAUUUUCUGUUGGGCCAAAAACCAAAUCUGCAGGCCCAAACACAUCUUAACCCAAAACAACUAAACCUUGACUUCUUCUUCUACGUUUCCUUUCGUCAACCUUCGACGCUUCUUCUCUCUUUCUAGAUUCUGGGUUUCAUCACACCAACCCACCUCUUUACUCCCUUGUUCUUCAUUCCUUUCUCAUUGACAUCGUUCUUCUUCUUUGCAGGAUCAAUCGGAGAGUUCAAUCUCAACAAAAGUUCAUUGAUAAACCACAGACAUACAUAUAUACUUUCCCAAGAGGCAGAACAAUGUAAUCUCUC
rnacentral:lncRNA from 1 species